rnacentral:rRNA from 1 species
GACGAACGCUGGCGGCGUGCUUAACACAUGCAAGUCGAGCGGUAAGGCCCUUUCGGGGGUACGACGAGCGGCGAACGGGUGAGUAACACGUGGGUGACCUGCCCUCAGCUCUGGGAUAAGCCCGGGAAACUGGGUCUAAUACCGGAUAUGACUCCAUGACGCAUGUUGUGGGGUGGAAAGCCUUGUGCGGCUGAGGAUGGGCCCGCGGCCUAUCAGCUUGUUGGUGGGGUGAUGGCCACCAAGGCGACGACGGGUAGCCGGCCUGAGAGGGCGACCGGCCACACUGGGACUGAGACACGGCCCAGACUCCUACGGGAGGCAGCAGUGGGGAAUCUUGCGCAAUGGGCGAAAGCCUGACGCAGCGACGCCGCGUGAGGGAUGACGGCCU